rnacentral:rRNA from 1 species
GAUGAACGCUGGCGGCGUGCUUAACACAUGCAAGUCGAACGAAGAUGCCGGAGUGCUUGCACUUUGGCAGACUGAGUGGCGGACGGGUGAGUAACGCGUGGGUAACCUGCCUUAUACAGGGGGAUAACAGUUGGAAACGACUGCUAAUACCGCAUAAGCGCACGGUAUCGCAUGAUACAGUGUGAAAAACUCCGGUGGUAUAAGAUGGCCUCGCGUCUGAUUAGCUAGUUGGUGAGGUAACGGCCCACCAAGGCGACGAUCAGUAGCCGGACUGAGAGGUUGAACGGCCACAUUGGGACUGAGAUACGGCCCAGACUCCUACGGGAGGCAGCAGUGGGGAAUAUUGGGCAAUGGGCGCAAGCCUGACCCAGCAACGCCGCGUGAAGGAAGAAGGCUUUCGGGUUGUAAACUUCUUUUGUCAGGGACGAGUAGAAGACGGUACCUGACGAAUAAGCCACGGCUAACUACGUG